rnacentral:rRNA from 1 species
AUUGAACGCUGGCGGCAUGCUUUACACAUGCAAGUCGAACGGUAACAGGCCUUCGGGUGCUGACGAGUGGCGCACGGGUGAGUAAUGCAUCGGAACGUACCCAGAGGUGGGGGAUAACGCAGCGAAAGCUGUGCUAAUACCGCAUGUGAUCUGAGGAUGAAAGCGGGGGACCGAGCAGCAAUGUUUGGCCUCGCGCCUUUGGAGCGGCCGAUGUCGGAUUAGCUAGUUGGUGGGGUAAAGGCCUACCAAGGCGACGAUCCGUAGCUGGUCUGAGAGGACGACCAGCCACACUGGGACUGAGACACGGCCCAGACUCCUACGGGAGGCAGCAGUGGGGAAUUUUGGACAAUGGGCGUAAGCCUGAUCCAGCAAUGCCGCGUGCGGGAAGAAGGCCUUCGGGUUGUAAACCGCUUUUGGCAGGAACGAAACGGUGUCCGCUAAUACCGGGCGCUAAUGACGGUACCUGCAGAAUAAGCACCGGCUAACUACGUG